rnacentral:rRNA from 1 species
GACAGAGGCCCCAAGCGUUAGGCGGAAUCACUGGGCUUAAAGCGUGUGUAGGCGGAUCGUUAAGUGUCUUGUGAAAUCCCACGGCUCACCCGUGGAACUGCUGGGCAUACUGGCGAUCUUGGGCCAACUAGGGGCAGUCGGAACAAGCGGUGGAGCGGUGAAAUGCGUAGAUAUCGCUUGGAACGCCGACGGUGAAAACAGGUUGCUGGGGAUGUGCCGACGCUGAGACACGAAAGCCAGGGGAGCAAACGGG